rnacentral:misc_RNA from 1 species
GUGAAUCAUCAAAUUUUUGAACGCAAAUUGCGCCUUUUUCGGAAGGCAUGUCUGUUUGAGGGCACCAGUUAACAAAUAAUGUGCAGCGUGUUUUGCUGCGCACGUUGAUGAGCUUUCCAAGAAUGUUAAAUUUUAGGUGUCGCAUAAUGAACAGCGUUAAAGUUUUUUUCAGUUCGAGUUUAGUAAAAGCUUUGCUUGGGUUUUGAAAGUUCAUAUUCUCGCAAUCGUUGUGGCAAUGUCUUUUUAUC